GGCCGCGCCGCCCCGCCCCGCCCUACCUGGGCGGGGUUGGGACCUUUCUGGCACCUGCAUCGAAGCCGGCGGCAGGGUGGACUUCGUUGUCCCGGUCCCAGACUACCCUCCUCCACCGCCGCCUCCCACUGCAAAAGGGCCUAGAUAAGGAACCUAAUUCGAGCUAUCCUUCUCUGUGAAGUCCGACGGCUGAGAACGUCAGGGCUCGUUCCCAGGUCUCUUUCCAGAGGCUAAGCUUUAUGCGAGCAUGGGUUACCAGCGAUGCAUCCUGUGAGGAUGCAGUAUCCAAGGCACCAUCUUGAACUCAUUAUCGCCAAAUAUGUCAGCACCUUGAUGUUGGACUUCCCAACCUCCAGACCCUGACAGGACUUCCACACCCAUGCUCCUCUCGGCACCUUUCACCCAGCCCAAGCAGCGGCGGCCCAGUGGUGGAAAAGGCGCCAUGGCCAAACGGAUUGGAGACUCACCCCACAUUCUAGGCCAGAGAAGCGGGCGGGCUUGGGAUGCCGGCAGGAGGCAAUGACUCUCCCCAGGCGCUGCAUCCUGGCUCCGGGGCACAGGCGCCUCUCCGCCCUGACGCUGAUGCUCGUCUGGCUGCCCGUUCUUUGGUAUCAAAAUACCAGACGAUGGUGGCGCACCCUGUGGCCUGGGCUGCCUCACAUCGUUCGGUCCCGCCCAGAAAGACCAGAGGACCAGAAAACCAGAAGACUGUCAGAGCGACUAGAAGCUGGCUCCUGCCAACAGCCGCGCGCCUCAGCCUCCACGAGGGUUACCUGGGUAACGCGCCGCUUGGGCUCGGCGCCCAGCCGAUGACGUAGCCCGCGCUUGCAUAGUGGCGCCGCCCGGAUGUGUGGGCUCCAGGCCGCCACCCCCAAACACCAGCCC
rnacentral:antisense_RNA from 1 species